UCACCGGUUCACGUACGAUCACCGAAGUUAAGCAACAUCGAACUUGCUCAGUACCUAGAUGGAUGAGAGUUUGGAAAUACUAGGUGCUGUAAG